CCGGGGUGCUCCAGGAGUGGCUGGACUCCGCCGCGCUGCCGCUGCGCACCCUGACGGUCGUCGAGGCAAAGCCGCUC
rnacentral:tRNA from 1 species